GAAAAUCUUACGUAACACGUGUGAUGGUGAAUAAGCAUGCGUUACGAUCGAUUGACCACUGACUUAAGGCAACAGAUGCCAGAUUUUAUCCAAUACUUUGCCAUCUUAUAUUGAUAUAUAUUAAAUAAAAUCGGAAGUAGUAUACAUGUAUAAAACCGAAAGUUUAUGUGGUGUUAUUAUACACUGAUUUUAUUUGCAGACGACAUUUUUUCCUCAUUGACGUCGAGUGCAGAUCUGGUUCAAUUCAUCGCCGGUUUCCAUGGGUAAUCGUAGUGUGAAUGGAAAAUAAAUCUGGCGAUUAUCCUACUUUUAAAAUUCAGUCAGACGAACGUUGUGUGUGCCUUUUUGAUAAAAGAUGGAGAAAAUCAAAACAUCAGUUUUCCAUACGAAGACUUCGGCACCCAUGAAGCCAUUGUUUAUCAUUGCAACAUCAGCUGGAAUACUUUGUAUCAUUCUGUACAACUUCUAUGUCAUAACUCCGCAACAUGUCCUCA